rnacentral:rRNA from 1 species
GCCAGACUCCUACGGGAGGCAGCAGUGAGGAAUAUUGGUCAAUGGGCGAGAGCCUGAACCAGCCAAGUCGCGUGAAGGAUGACGGCCCUACGGGUUGUAAACUUCUUUUGUCAGGGAGCAAUUGGGUCCACGCGUGGGCUUAGCGAGAGUACCUGAAGAAAAAGCAUCGGCUAACUCCGUGCCAGCAGCCGCGGUAAUACGGAGGAUGCGAGCGUUAUCCGGAUUUAUUGGGUUUAAAGGGUGCGUAGGCGGAUUUGUAAGUCAGCGGUAAAAAUGCGGUGCUCAACGCCGUAUCGCCGUUGAAACUGCAGGUCUUGAGUGAGCGAGAAGUAUGCGGAAUGCGUGGUGUAGCGGUGAAAUGCAUAGAUAUCACGCAGAACUCCGAUUGCGAAGGCAGCAUACCGGCGCUCAACUGACGCUGAAGCACGAAAGCGUGGGUAUCGAACAGGAUUAGAUACCCCGGUAA